rnacentral:rRNA from 1 species
GUGGGGAAUUUUGGACAAUGGGCGCAAGCCUGAUCCAGCAAUGCCGCGUGCAGGAAGAAGGCCUUCGGGUUGUAAACUGCUUUUGUACGGAACGAAACGGUCCGGGUUAAUACCCUGGGCUAAUGACGGUACCGUAAGAAUAAGCACCGGCUAACUACGUGCCAGCAGCCGCGGUAAUACGUAGGGUGCAAGCGUUAAUCGGAAUUACUGGGCGUAAAGCGUGCGCAGGCGGUUUUGUAAGACAGGCGUGAAAUCCCCGGGCUCAACCUGGGAACUGCAUUUGUGACUGUAUAGCUAGAGUACGGUAGAGGGGGAUGGAAUUCCGCGUGUAGCAGUGAAAUGCGUAGAUAUGCGGAGGAACACCGAUGGCGAAGGCAAUCCCCUGGACCUGUACUGACGCUCAUGCACGAAAGCGUGGGGAGCAAACAGGAUUAGAAACCCCCGUAGUCC